GUAGCCUUGCGCGUUCGAGGUUCUUCGCCACGCGAAGCUAAGAAGGGAACGCGGUAUGCCGCGGCUGCCCCCGCAACUGUAAACGGUCAAUUGCCUUGCAAGGCCACUGCUCCAGGGAGCGGGAAGGCGCAAGGAAAGACGCAGCCCUCCGGCUGCUGUCAGCCGUAAGCCAGGAGACCUGCCUCGUGAGCGUUUCUUACU
rnacentral:ncRNA from 1 species